CUAUGGUCCUUGAAGUCUACAAGCUUUUGUAUCCCAUUCAUAAUGUAUUCAAUGAGAAGCAUAUAAAAAACAAUGGGGUAGAUGUUAAAAAAUUGGAAGUGAGCACAGAAGAACAUACUGAAGGGCAUUUUGAUGUGGCCACUGGGAAAGGAUGAGAGCAGCAGAUCAAGUCACAGCACAUGCUGAGGAUGACAUAAAAGUAAGGAUAACAAGUUCACUAAGAUCAUACCAGAGCCUGAUCUCAGUGCCUUUCAAUGGGAGUAUUACACUUCUGCCCAAAUUGUACAGAGAUUAUGAAUCCUGUAGACCCACUGCUGUUCUUUCUGUGCUUUGCAGCAGAGUGUUGUGCUUCUUUCAAAAGAAGUGAGAGUUCAAGAAGAUUGCCUCCUCUCACUGACUCUGUCACAUUAAGGUGUCUGAAAGAUAUUGAAGGUGAUACAAUACAGC